GCCCAGGUGGUGGAAUCGGUAGACACAAGGGAUUUAAAAUCCCUCGGCGUUCGCGCUGUGCGGGUUCAAGUCCCGCCCUGGGCACCA
rnacentral:tRNA from 4 species